rnacentral:rRNA from 1 species
CGCAUGGUAGGAGAGCGUUCCGUAAGCCUGCGAAGGUGCCUUGUAAAGGGUGCUGGAGGUAUCGGAAGUGCGAAUGCUGACAUGAGUAGCGAUAAAGGGGGUGAAAGGCCCCCUCGCCGUAAGCCCAAGGUUUCCUACGCAACGUUCAUCGGCGUAGGGUGAGUCGGCCCCUAAGGCGAGGCAGAAAUGCGUAGCUGAUGGGAAGCAGGUCAAUAUUCCUGCACCGUCGUUAGAUGCGAUGGGGGGACGGAUCGCGGAAGGUUGUCCGGGUGUUGGAAGUCCCGGUCGCUGCAUUGGAGAAGGCGCUUAGGCAAAUCCGGGCGCAGGAUUCAAGGGUGUGGCGCGAGCGCUCUAGGGCGCGAAGCAAUUGGAAGUGGUUCCAAGAAAAGCCUCUAAGCUUCAGUCUAACGAUGACCGUACCGCAAACCGACACAGGUGGGCGAGAUGAGUAUUCUAAGGCGCUUGAGAGAACUCGGGAGAAGGAACUCGGCAAAUUGGUACCGUAACUUCGGGAUAAGGUACGCCCUUGUAGCUUGACUGGCCUGCGCCAGGAGGGUGAAGGGGUUGCAAUAAACUGGUGGCUGCGACUGUUUAAUAAAAACACAGCACUCUGCAAACACGAAAGUGGACGUAUAGGGUGUGACGCCUGCCCGGUGCCGGAAGAUUAAAUGAUGGGGUGCAAGCUCUUGAUUGAAGUCCCGGUAAACGGCGGCCGUAACUAUAACGGUCCUAAGGUAGCGAAAUUCCUUGUCGGGUAAGUUCCGACCUGCACGAAUGGCGUAACGAUGGCCACACUGUCUCCUCCCGAGACUCAGCGAAGUUGAAGUGUUUGUGAUGAUGCAAUCUACCCGCGGCUAGACGGAAAGACCCCAUGAACCUUUACUGUAGCUUUGCAUUGGACUUUGAACCGAUCUGUGUAGGAUAGGUGGGAGGCUAUGAAACCGGAACGCUAGUUUCGGUGGAGCCGUCCUUGAAAUACCACCCUGGUUUGUUUGAGGUUCUAACCUUGGCCCGUGAUCCGGGUCGGGGACAGUGCAUGGUAGGCAGUUUGACUGGGGCGGUCUCCUCCCAAAGCGUAACGGAGGAGUACGAAGGUACGCUAGGUACGGUCGGAAAUCGUGCUGAUAGUGCAAUGGCAUAAGCGUGCUUAACUGCGAGACCGACAAGUCGAGCAGGUGCGAAAGCAGGUCAUAGUGAUCCGGUGGUUCUGUAUGGAAGGGCCAUCGCUCAACGGAUAAAAGGUACUCUGGGGAUAACAGGCUGAUACCGCCCAAGAGUUCAUAUCGACGGCGGUGUUUGGCACCUCGAUGUCGGCUCAUCUCAUCCUGGGGCUGUAGCCGGUCCCAAGGGUAUGGCUGUUCGCCAUUUAAAGAGGUACGUGAGCUGGGUUUAAAACGUCGUGAGACAGUUUGGUCCCUAUCUGCCGUGGGCGUUGGAUAUUUGAAGGGGGCUGCUCCUAGUACGAGAGGACCGGAGUGGACGAACCUCUGGUGUACCGGUUGUGACGCCAGUCGCAUCGCCGGGUAGCUAUGUUCGGAAGAGAUAACCGCUGAAAGCAUCUAAGCGGGAAACUCGCCUUAAGAUGAGAUAUCCCUGGAGGCUUGACCUCCUUGAAGGGUCGUUCGAGACCAGGACGUUGAUAGGUCAGGUGUGUAAGCGCAGUAAUGCGUUCAGCUAACUGAUACUAAUUGCCCGUAAGGCUUGAUCCUAUAACA